UUUGCCUGUCCGAACAGACUCCUAAGUAUUUGGAUUCUCCCAACUCAGUCACGAUUGGCAGAGAAUGCUGCCAGAAAAGAAAACCUCUUGGUCUGCGCAAGUCAUCCUCUUCAACAGCAGCUCAUAGUACUUUUGCACCAACAAGAGCUUCAUUGAGGAUAAUGGAGCAAAUUGUGUCAGCGUUGCAGCUCUCCGAGCCCGUUUUGCUGGUUGGAGAAACUGGAAUUGGCAAAACAGCAGUGAUCCAACAGCUUGCAUCUCUCUUGCACCAGCGUUUGACGGUAGUAAAUUUAUCGCAAC
rnacentral:sRNA from 2 species